rnacentral:lncRNA from 1 species
AGGGUCAGGAUGAUAUUAGUCGGUUAGAGUUGAGUGGUCCCCCCAGGGUUGAGUGGUCAACACUAGAUUAGAGUAUUUAAUCCGAUGGUUAGAAAUAAUGAAAAGAGUUGAUCCAAAGGCUAAAAAACUGGUAGCAACAAUGGGAUUUUGCUACUAAUAGUAGCCCAAUCUAUCUCUCUCUCUCUCUCUCUCUCUCUCUCUCUCUCUCUCUCUCUCUCUCUCUAUAUAUAUAUAUAUAUAUAUAUAUAUAUAUAUAUAGAAUUAGGCUGGAAUACAAUAGUAAAACGCUAUUUUUAUUAUCAAGUUUUUAACCGUUAGAUGAAAAAUUGUAGGGUUAGGAUGAUAAUAGUCAGUUAGAGUUGUGUGGUCCUCUAGGGUUGAGUGGUUCUCACUGGGUUAUAGUAUUUAAUCCAAUGGUUAGAAAUAAUGAAAAGAGUUGAUCCAAAGGCUAAAAAACUGGUAGCAACAAUGGGAUUUUGCUACUAAUAGUAGCCCAAUCCAACUCUCUCUCUCUCUCUCUCUCUCUCUCUCUCUCUCUCUCUCUCUCUCUAUAUAUAUAUAUAUAUAUAUAUAUAUAUAUAUAUAGAAUUAGGCUGGAAUACAAUAGUAAAACGCUAUUUUUAUUAUCAAGUUUUUAACCGUUAGAUGAAAAAUUGUAGGGUUAGGAUGAUAAUAGUCAGUUAGAGUUGUGUGGUCCUCUAGGGUUGAGUGGUCCCCACUGGGUUAUAGUAUUUAAUCCAAUGGUUAGAAAUAAUGAAAAGAGUUGAUCCAAAGGCUAAAAAACUGGUAGCAACAAUGAGAUUUUGCUACUAAUAGUAGCCCAGUCCAAUUCUCUCUCUCCUCUCUCUCUCUCUCUAUAUAUAUAUAUAUAUAUAUAAACUAUAUAUUAAUC